rnacentral:lncRNA from 1 species
GGAGAUCUCUGCAGGGGAAUGAGCAUCAGCCAACUCCAACUGUGGACAUGAUCAACACACGGAUAAAAUCCUCCGUAGAAGCAAUUCUACUGGGGAAAUUGUCAGAGGGGAAGAUGGAACUCUGUGGGGGAAUAACCACCAAUCAGAAAUCUCCAGGGUCACCACCAUAAAUCGUACUACUGACGAAAUCACAUCUGCCGAGGAGGAAGUGACACCAUUCCACCGAGGAAGGAAGGAUGAAUACCUUUACCAACCACUCUGCUCGGGAGGAAAAAC